rnacentral:rRNA from 1 species
AUUGAACGCUGGCGGCAGGCCUAACACAUGCAAGUCGAGCGAGCGGCGGACGGGUGAGUAAUGUAUGGGGACUGCCCGAUAGAGGGGGAUAACUACUGGAAACGGUUGCUAAUACCGCAUACUAUCGGAUAACCCAUAUGGGAUUAGCUAGUAGGUGGGGUAAAGGCUCACCUAGGCGACGCUCUCGAGCUGGUCUUAGAGGAUGAAAAGGCACACUCGGACUCAGACACGGCCCAGACUCAUACGGAGGUGGCAGUGGGGAAUAUUGGACGAUGGGCGCAAUCCUGAUGCAGCAAUGCUGCGUGUAUGAAGAAGGCCUGAGGGUUGUAAAGUACUUUCAGCGGGGAGGCGUUACCCGCAGAAGAAGCACCGGCUAACUCCGUGAGAGUAGCCGCGGUAAUAC